GACGAACGCUGGCGGCGUGCUUAACACAUGCAAGUCGAACGGAAAGGCCCUGCUUUUGUGGGGUGCUCGAGUGGCGAACGGGUGAGUAACACGUGAGUAACCUGCCCUUGACUUUGGGUUAACUUCAGGAAACUGGGGCUAAUACCGGAUAGGAGCUCCUGCUGCAUGGUGGGGGUUGGAAAGUUUCGGCGGUUGGGGAUGGACUCGCGGCUUAUCAGCUUGUUGGUGGGGUAGUGGCUUACCAAGGCUUUGACGGGUAGCCGGCCUAAGAGGGUGACCGGCCACAUUGGGACUGAGAUACGGCCCAGACUCCUACGGGAGGCAGCAGUGGGGAAUAUUGCACAAUGGGCGGAAGCCUGAUGCAGCAACGCCGCGUGCGGGAUGACGGCCUUCGGGUUGUAAACCGCUUUCGCCUGUGACGAAGCGUGAGUGACGGUAAUGGGUAAAGAAGCACCGGCUAACUACGUG
rnacentral:rRNA from 1 species